UGCAGGCCUGUCAAUUUGUCUACACCAACUCUCUUUAUAUCUGCAAGGGCCCAAUUCAUAAACUGCUGAAUGAGUUGGUCACUAGGUUCAACUCUUCGGAUCUGCAGGAGGCUAACAUGAAGUUACAAAAUGGGAAGCGAAGUAGGUCUCAACCAUAUAAAACAUACAUUUUGAAUUUAAGUUGCCCAAGAUCUUGGUAUGAUAUAACUUUUGAACCAUCAAAGACUUCUGUUGAAUUCAAGGAUUGGUCUCCCAUUAUUAAUUUUAUUGAAAAGGCCAUCACACACUUGUGGACUGAAAAAUUUUCUCACAGAAAUUCCUCCAGCCGCGGUACUGUUAUGUCAAAAGAAGACAAUACCUGGAGGGAAGGUGAUGAUGUUUCAUCACCAGAAAAAGGUAGGAUCUAUAUUUUAUUAUUGAAUGUCUUGCUUCUGAUAAUUCUGUAUAUAGAGUUUGAAUACCCUGAUCUAGUUGUUUCAAUAGUUACAUUCCUCAAAACUAUUUGGAGAAGAGAGAACGCAUUUCCAGAGUAACAAAAUUUCAUGAAUGAUGUUUAUAUAGCUUGCUUGUGAACUGGCAAAAAAUCUGUUUGGGUAAAUUAUACUGUUGGUCCCUCUAGGUCCAGUGAAGUUUUCACUUCGGUCCCUGUAGUUUCAAUUUCAUCAAUUUAAACCUCAUA